CUCAGGGCCACACUCACGCCCUCCACGAGCACACACCGCCAGGCUCCGGGUCCCUAUGCCCCUGGAUGGUGACGGCGGAUUGGCAUCCUGGAAGCGAUGCGAGAGCGAUAAGACUGGCGCCGGCCCGCGGAAGCUGCAGGGACCUCGCUAGGUGUUGCCGCCACCGGGAAGCCCGGCUGCAGGAUGAGUAAGAGAUACUUACAGAAAGCAACAAAAGGAAAAUUGCUAAUAAUAAUUUUCAUCGUAACCUUGUGGGGGAAAGUCGUAUCCAGUGCAAACCAUCAUAAAGCUCACCAUGUUAAAACGGGAACUUGCGAGGUGGUGGCACUCCACAGAUGCUGUAAUAAGAACAAGAUAGAAGAACGGUCACAAACAGUCAAGUGUUCCUGCUUCCCCGGACAGGUGGCUGGCACCACACGGGCUGCUCCUUCUUGUGUAGACGCUUCCAUAGUGGAGCAGAAGUGGUGGUGUCACAUGCAGCCGUGUUUGGAGGGAGAAGAGUGUAAGGUUCUCCCAGAUAGGAAAGGGUGGAGCUGCUCCUCUGGAAAUAAAGUGAAAACAACUCGGGCAAACGUGUAGAAUUCUUCAAGUUCGAAUGGAGAAGUAGAAAGAGAAGGUUUCUGCUGUGCCUGAUGACAGUUUUUGAUUUUUCCACAUCCAAAAAUAUUCUGGCUCCACAUUAGAGCACUAGUUGUGAUGAAUCCUACUGUUGGUCGGAUUCUAAGGAAGGCACAGAAGUUUCCUUGAGAAGUAAAGAUUCAAAACAACUCCAGAAAUGAGCUUCCAUCUCGAUUUAUUUCUCGCAGAGCAGCAGGUAACCCAUUAACCAAGGAUAAAUCAAGUGAUUCUCCAGGCUGAUUACAUUGAAACUGAACUCCUGAGAUGACCUUGAAGAGUUUUAUACGGCUCAGAAGAGAUGCUCCAGAGUCUAUUUCCAAGAGAUUCUAUGACUCCUUUCCAGCCUCUUCUUGAGAUCAAGAUAUUUAAAAAGUCAGACAUGAACUUCUCUAUCAUAAAGACUUCAUCAGAUUGGAACUGUGCUCAACUUGUACAGUUGCUAAGGGAAUCUGAAGUCACCAUUGGCAGAGCUGGUUGAGCAUUGCUGUUUUCAGGGUGACAUCAGAGACAGCCACCUUUUGGGUUCCUGGCUCCAAGCUGUGACUGGUUUUCUUGUUUCUGAAAGCUGUCUCCAAGUGCACUGUCCUUCUGUCAUGGAUGUGUUCCUGGGUCCUUUGUUCUUUGGCUAGUGACAACAUUUCCUUUGUGAAAUUCUCUGGCAUGGCAUAGACUGAGAUAAUUUUCUCUGUAUCUUAAUCUUGGAGCUCUGAAAGCCUACUGUUUUAACAUCUUAAAGUUGCUUUUGUUAAAGGAAUGGAAAUAUAUAUCCAUCGAUAAUAAUUAUUGUUGGCAAGUAAUAGUAAUCUGAAUACAUCAAUCAUAUAAGAAUGUAUAGACAAGCUGACAUGUUUCCCCAAGGUUAACAUGCUGCUGCAGCUCUCUGUCGGUUAGAUAGGUACUAGUUAGAACUGGAUUACCAUUUUCAUUAGACAAUAAUUUGCACCUCUGGAACACUCUCCCUUUCAGAUUUGUUUUGUUUUGUUUUUGUAAAGUGGGCUUUUUUGUAUUUAAUUUUCCCCUUUAUAGAAAUCAGCAACAAGAAGCAGACAAGUUAUUAGGUAGCCUUCAGUUUAAAACUGUCAGGGAUGCAUGUGAGUUUCUGAUUUGUUAGCUUGAAUGUUAUUCACUUAGAUUUCUUCUAGUAUUUUUUUUCAACUAUCUUUUUUUCCUAUUUCAUUUUAAAAGACUUAUCUCUUGCUUGAUCCUAAUGACUGUUUGAAUGCUUAUAUAUUUGUUCAGUCUGUUGAUAGACUAAGUUGUUCAUUUUUCUUGGUCACAAAUUUAUAAAUAUUUGUUCCAUUCAAACAAUCUUUUAGGCCAGUAAUUUGUCCACAUUUUCAUAGCUUUAACAUUUGUGGCUUUUGGUUCUACAGGAACGUCUUAUAAAUAUUUAAAGGCCUUAAACAUUUAUGUACUUCUUUCUAAGUUAUUACAGAAUGUAUAAUUUUAUACUACAUUUAUUUUGUUUCAUUUCUGAUGUGGAUGGAGAGAAGAAUGGAAAUCAUAUCCCCCUUCUGUAAUAAUAUUGUGUAAAUCUCUGGGUUGCAGGAAUCUGAAGGGAGGGAUUCUGUGUUUUACUGAUGUUAGACUGAUUAGAAGACUCUUCCAAAUUAUCUUAUGAAAGUUCCAUCCUGCUAGAAGGUGUGCAGAUAGCUUAUAUGCGUAGGAUUCACUGACUCAGCCAGUUAGGCAGAGGUUGGUUUCUGUGAUGGAGGGUCAUAUGUCCUGGAGACCUUUGGUCUAUUUGUUUGUAAUGAUAUUCAAAAACACAGUAUAGUACCAAGACCUUACAAAGAAAAACAAUUAAAAAUGUAAAAUUUGUUGGAAAUUAAUUUGUAAAGUGUACUUUUGACACUGAAUUAAGAUCCACUGUCCCACAAGUCUGUGGAAUGAAAUUACUUUCUGCCUCCAUUUUAAUUAUGCAUAAAACUAAUUAGAUGGCUCUGAGUGGAUAUUGCAGUGAUUCAAGACCAUGUAAUCAUAAAGAAAGGAGUAACAAUUGUGCUGGAGUUUCUGCAUCAAUUAGAAUCUCAUUCAUUUCUUUGGAACAAAAUGGAAAACUAUAUUAUUUUGAAAAUUGUGAAUUUGUCUUAAGUUUGUUUGAAAUUAUAGAUCAUGCUUCUUAUUUUUAAAACUAUGUCCUUUAAAACAGCACUGGAAAUUCUGUAUUAUACACACCUGUAAUACAUGCAUAUCAAUAGAAAAAAAUAAAUGGAAUUUCAAAUAUACUGACUACAUUAUCCCCGGUAGAUUAAUGUUGUGACUACUCAGAAAAGGUUAAUAAAAUUGGGAUAUAAAUGGACUCUUUCAUAAGUACAA